rnacentral:lncRNA from 1 species
CAACCCAAAGGUUGUGUUUCUAUGAUAUGGAAAUAAUGCAGAUGGCUAAAACACCGAUUGAUGCUUGUGGAUCCAUGUAAGACUUCUUCUGACCACCAAACUCCAUCACUAGCUUCCUUGAUUCAUGCCAACCACGGCCAUUAUAAUCGGGUAAUGACCUUUGCUUUCGAUUGUCACUCUUAAAAGGCCCAUCUAGGCUUGUCGAAGUAGAGUUCUUCCCUGAUUGUCUCCUCAUCAAGAAAUGUAAUAUCAGAAAAUCACAAACAACAACAAUAGAAGCACAUAUACCAUAAUGACAAAAAAAAUAAAAAAAUCAGGCUGGAUUAAUUGAUAAGCCUCAAUUCUCACAACUGUUAUGCAGAUACUGUCAUCACAAAUAAGAGGCAAACAACAACUAAUCCAAUAGAAAAAGUCACAUGUUUUAAGAAGUUGGGCUUGUAGACAUGGAUCCCAAGAGAAACCAGCCAGUUUCCAGCAAAUGACAUAAAAUAGAAAACACUACAAGAUUAUGUCUCAAGUGCAAUUAAUAGAACUUUGUUAAAUGGUUAAGAAGCUUUGUGCAUUGUUUUUAAUUGGCAAUACUUUUCCAUUUAUCCUUUACCUUAGAAGCUGGAUUAGACUGAUUAUAUGUAGAGAAUUUGUGAAUAAGGAAGGCUAGUGAACACAUUAUUCACCCGUUGAAAGAUGGAGUUAGACUAAAAAAGAAAAUGAAGAAAAAGCCUACUUGUACAAAAUUUAACGGAUUGCUACCAAGAACGCAUGCAACGGAGUUCAGGUUUAGCCUUUGGUUCAACAAAUGUACUAGUUGCAUCAUCUUGCUCAUCACAAUGCCCAAGAAGAUGGGCUAACUCUUGUGAGAAUGAUCCAAGACUACACUACUGAUUGAAUGUUUACAGACAUUUAGAUUACACAAAAGUGAUGGAAGACAAAACCAUCCUUGGCAAAGGGGAAAGAAAGUUGAAAAAAAAAACUUACGACAAAUGAAGAUGCAGGUGAAGGUUCAUUAAGCUCAACAUUCCACUCCCUGAGCAUAUGAUGGACUCGCUCCUCCAAGAUAGUAAUGUCAGUAGUACGACUCUCCUUCCUUGCAUUUUGAAGAUUAGUGAAUAUCCCUUUAAGGUCAUUAACACAAUUCUUUGCUCUUUCCUUCAAAAGCUGAUGAGAAGUAGAUUGACAUUUACUCUUCAAACCCUUCGACAUCCAUUCGUCUCUUUCCUUCCACCAAAAUUAUUUUAGCAGCAACUGAAGAAAAAGAAAUCACAAUGAAGCACCGACCCUUUAUAUAAAGUCCGUUCAGAUUGCAAAACAGAACCUACCCAAAAGGAAAAAAAAUCAUAUGGGCUAUCGAAACAAAUACAUUUGUAAUGCUACUGUUGAAUAUUCAUCCACUUCCUCUAACUCAGUUCAGAAAAUAGGAGACUGAAUUGGAAACAAGUAAAAUUGUAACCAUUGUACCAAUCAUAAGAUGAUCACAAAGUUUCACCUAAGCUAAUUCAUCCUUACCUAGCUCUCUACUUAAAAUUUUGGCAAAAUCUUAAACGUGUUUUUCUAUCAUGUACUAAUUCAUCGUGAUCUCUACGUGCCAUCAUCAAAGAUUCGACUAAGUAAGCGGUCGCUUAAUUCAACCCUAAUUCACGUAUUUAAAGAAAAGAAAAGAACUGGAAUAAACAAAGAACAGUUAACCGCCAAAUUGCAUACUAUUUGGGUCGAAAAUCAUGGGAAAACUUGGAGGAAGAAGAUUAGGGGGUAGUUUUUUCCUUAGAGAAGUAAUCAGUGUAGCUUUGGCUCUUAGUUCAGAUCUUUUAGGUCACCCACGAACGGCAUCAGACGACCGAUGAUAUGCACCAGAGUAGAAGGAGAAGAACAUGAAUGGUUUUUUUUUUUUUUUUUUGCUUGCAUUUUGUUUUUACGUUGAGGAGAAGGAAUGGAAGGUAAAAUGAAUUAAGGGUAAUUUAGACAAUUCAUACAUAAUUUGUCCUAAAAAUUAACUUUUUAAAAAUCAAUCUCAAAAAUCCUUUAUUCCUUUUCCUUUUUUUUUUCUUUUUUUUUGUGCCUAUUUUUGGCAAUUUGAAGUUAGUUAAUAUUUGAAUAAAGAUUUGAAAUUAAUAAUUUUUCAUCUUUCCAAAUAUUAACUAUAAAUUUGUUUCUUAAGGAAAUUUUGCUUGACAUGAACAUAGAUUAUCAAGUUUUUAGACUUUCUGAGUAUAAUUUUGUCGAGAUUAACCGAAUCCAUAACUUUUUUAAAAGAAAAAAAUUAAAUAAGAUUUGUGAAGAUUUGAAAAAGGGUAGAAUCUUCGUCCACGAAAAAUAAAAAAAACAAUCUUUAAGUUGGAAAAUUUUAAUAUUUUAGAAAAAACUUGGUGGUCUCAGUACUAAGAAAAACAAUCUUAUGAGUUUUAAAAAAUGUGUUACUUUUAAAAACCAAAACCAAAAGUGUGCUACUUUUUACUAAUUUUAUGUUGCUAUUCUUGGACCUAAUAUGGACAACCAAUAUUCAUGAUUGCAUCCACACACAAAUGGAGUUAGUCAUGGACAUUGUUGGAUUUACGUAGGUGCCAACAAGAACACGUGUCCACCUUACGUUAUCGAUUUUUGUUUAAUAUUAGUUUUGAAGUGUCAGAUUAUAAUAUAUAUUAAAUAAUGUUUUAUUUUAAACAAAAUAUGGUUAUCAAGUUGUACGCUGGUCAUAGGUGAUGGCUACCACACCAUUCAUCAUAUAAGAAAUCACUACAAUUAUGGCCAUUACUUCAUAUGGAUGGAUUAGAUGUUUUGGACACUUCUUCAUCCAACGGAUUCAGAAGCCAAGGCAUCGUGAUUGGUCGUUGCUUCGAUAUCAAGUUAUUGUUGAGGUCAGGUCUUCUAGCCUUCUCAAGGUUAUUCAUGAAGUCAUUUAUACCAUUCAAUAAAACAUUCAAUCUAAGAGAGUUCAAAAAUCCAUAGGAAUUGUGGUCUUCUAGGAUGUUAAAGAAUAAAUUGUUGUUUCCUUUGACGGUUAUUCAAGGCAUUACUUGUAUCUUUGAGCAUCAUAACAUAUUUAAUUGUUGUUUAUCAUCAUAAUAAUAAAAGCAAUUUGUGCAAGUUUUCAAAUGCAAUUGUCACAUUACUCUCAACUCAACACUCCCAAAUUCCACUUGGCUUCAUUCACUCAAUCUAAUAUGUAUUUAACCAUUCCAUUUCUAGUUCAUUCAGAGUGAAAAGUACAAAAGGUCUUUCCUUUUUUUCUGAAAAAAUUGUGGCAUCGUCUCCGUUUAGAAAACCUAUUGUAUUAAAAGAUGAGGUGAGUCCUCCAAAAUCUAUGACUAGCUAAAAAUUUCCGCAACCGGGAAAGCUUAGAAAAUUAUCAGUUCACAAGUGUUAAACUAUUAAAAGCAAGUAGAAUGCAAGUAAUGUAACAGAGACGUUGAAUACAGUGAAGGCCUCCCACCUUUCAAUAAAUAAAAAGUAUUCACUCACUUUGGUUUCAAACAAAACAGGGAGUGGUGCGUGCAAACCUGACUCUGAAAAAGGUACUGACCCCACCUCCUAAAACAUCCCACCACCAAAUGAAAUGCUUAAAGUUAGAUACAGGGAAUUGAAUUGACCAACUUGGUACAUCAACAUUUCAACCUGUUAAACCUACAAUGAGAGUAAAUUCAUCUAACCAAUAAUUGAUCUGCAAGAAUUGCAAAGGUUUUGCUCUUAUCUUGUUGCUGUUUGUACAAAAGGGAUAUAUAAAUGAGAAGUUCCUUCAUCUGUGAACAUACGGAAAGAUGAAAAGUGGAAAAGUGGAAAAGAAAAAAAGAAAAGAAAAGAGGGAAUCACACAAUUGGUACACUGCUGGUAGAAAUCGAUGCAUCAUUGUAGGAAGGGGUCAUGGUUGAGAUUAGUGCAUAGCUUAUUUUGAGAUGAAUUGAUAUACUCGGUUACCACACUAAGCCCUUUCUUUUCCUAAACCUAUCGACGCGAUCAGUGCUCAUACGAGAUUUCUCAGGCUUGUUUGCUUUUUUUGACUUCUCAAGCCGACUAUCUAAACUGUUUCGGGAAACUUCAGGAAGAUCAGCAGCCAAUUCGAACGUAUCAGAAGGCCCAGUUUCAGAUGGUUUGUUCUGAUUGUCAAUUUCUACUUUAGCCUUCUCAGAACCAUUAGUUGAUGCUUUUGAUUUUCCAAGUGACUGUACAAAUUUCUUUAAAUGUCUAAUGAACUCAGGGUAUAGCUCAAGAUUGCAAUGUCCACCUCCACUUAGCCAUAGAGGUUCAUACUUUUGCUUGCAAAGCUCCCAAAGUUGUUUUCCAUGGGACCAAUCAACAACUUCAUCAGCUGUUCCCUGCAAGACAAACACAUUAGGUUAGUAGUAGUCUAUUUUUCUUUCCAUCAUUUUAAACUAUUAAGUCAGUGACCAAGCAGUAGAUCAGAAGGGAUGAAAUGAUUGGAUAGUUAAUAUUGAAAGGAGAGACAAGGAACACUGAUUUACGUGGAAAUCCGAGUACCAGGAGAAAAACCACGAUUCUUUGUUGUUAUUAUUUUCUAAUAAAUAAUAGAAUAGGUAUAAGGGAGAAUAAAUAGAAUAUACAAGUGAACAAAAAAAGGAAAAGAUUUAGGAAUUAAGGAAAAUAUUUUCAUAACCUUUCCAUAAAUAUUCUAAGAUUCUAAAAGGAAAAGAUUUAUGAAUUAAGAAAAAUAUCCUCGUCAUCUUUCCAUCAAUAUUCUAAACUUCUAACACUCACCCUCAAGUUGGGACAAAAAUAUCAAUGAGGCCCAACUUGCCAACACAAUAGUUGAAGUUUGGUCUGAAAAGCCCCUUGAUAAGAACAUCAGCAACUUGUUGACUCGAAGGGAUGUACGAAAUGCAUAUGCUCCCACUGUCAAGUCUUUCUUUGAUGAAAUGUCGAUCAAUCUCAACAUGUUUAGUUCUAUCAUGUUGAACAGGGUUGUUAGCAAUACUAAUAGCGGCUUUAUUAUCACAUAAAAGCUUCAAUGGUGUCUCACAUUCCUAAUAAAGAUCUUUACUGUUGAUCAAUAUGGACCAAAGAAUAGGGUCCUCUACCUUCCAGUAUCAUUCAUGUGGGUCGCCCAGUGGAGGAUAAGGUAUUUUCCUUGUCAGAAAGCUAAAUUUAUGUCAUCCUUCAAGAACCAUCUUCACUGACUGAGACCAUAAGAAAUAGUUAUUGACAUUCAACUUUUCCCUUGAAAGAUGAUACGCCGAAGAUUGGGUCAUUGUAUUGGUCACAUAAGAAGAGGAUAAAUUAGAGAACAAGUUUACCGAACUCUCAUAAUACAUCGGUACAGAAAUAUUGGAUGUCGUCCCUAAGGUAGCCUCAAGUGCUACUAUCUGUUGUUGAAGCUCUUCCAGUUGCUAUUGAGCUAUUUCCGAGGAAGCUUGCACGUUAGGGUUGGAAUGUGUCGAAGAUUCACCAACCUCAAAUGUUGAGUGAAUUUAAGAAUUCUUAACAACGGGAUGAUAACUAGGGUGGCAAGGCAUAUAGAUUUGACGACAGAAGCGGUGGUGGCCGGUCGAAAUUGGGUGGCAAUACAUAAAUCGAGGCGUGAGGAGCAAUAUAGACCGCAGAUGAAGAAAAGGGUUACACAAAUGGGAUGACCAGCACUGUCUGAGGAGGAAAAACCAGCACGUGCAGCUCCGGCAGCGGCACGUGGAGGUCCAACGGCUGUGUGUGGGAGGCGCGUGAGGCAUGCUUGGUUGUGCGAACGACUGCAGAAAUGACGAGAAUUUAUUUUUAAACGUUUUCUGUAGGCAGAUGAACCAUUGGUCCAUGACAGCACUAAAACUGGUGUUUGUCUCUUCUGUUUGAUUUCCAUCAUCAGUUGUGUUUUCUAGGGUUUCUAGGGUGUGUUCAUUGUUCUGCCCUUAUACCAUAUUGAAAGGAGAAACAAAGAGCACACACCGAUUUACGUGGAAACUCGAGUACCAGAAGAAAAACCACGAUUCUUUGUUGAGGAAGAAUAAAUAGAAUAUACAAGGGAACAAAAAAGGAAAAGAUUUAGGAAUUAAGGAAAAUAUUUCCAUAAGCUUUCCAUCAAUAUUCUAAGAUUCUAACCGUUAACAAAAUUGCUUAACAAGAAAAUACAUCAUUGCACAAUCAAGAAUACUAAAAAUAUUUAAUUUUUUGCUUGCAUCCCAUGAAGUUUAUUUAUGAGUGGCUAUGAAGCCUGGACAGUUCGACUUGUAUAAUGUGGCAAUAGACAUAAGUCAAACACUUGUUAUACUAGUUAAAUCUGAAUCUAACACUAGUUUGCACAUAUCGAACACUUGUUACACAUAACAAAUAGAAAUACUGUGUAACAAAUAGAAAUAAAAAGUAAUAUGGAACAAAUGUUAAAAUUCAAGAGAUAAAUAAAUACUUCAAACUUGUUUCUUUCAACAUAUAAAUGCACAUAUAGGCUUUUUAUUGACUUCAACUUUUAUAUACUUUAAUAAACAUGUCUUUCCGGUGUUUGUGUCAUUGCAUCCAUCAAUCCAUUUAGUGUCUCGUAUUCUUGUAUCCUUCUUCAGUGUGAGAAAUCAUUCACAUGACAGUAGUAUAAAUUUAAUUUACGUGAUUGCUUCCGAUCUCUGGUACGGAUCUGAAAGCUUUAGUGUUUGUCAGACCUGUGCACUGGUGUAAAAGAGGAUUCCCCUCGUGGCAAAGUGUACGUGGAUUUAAUAUUCCUAAUCAUGCUCAUUUCUAUAGGUAUGACUGCGACCGAGAGAAUGAGAUAUUUAGAAAAGAGAGACUUACAUGUAUGAUUAAAACUGGACAGUUCACCAAACCAAUUUUGUCGAGGUUCUGAACAAGGAAACAGAACAAUAAGACGCUAAUUUCUAAAUUAAACCAGCAAUAACAAAGUAGCAAUAUGCACCUUGUAGAUAUCAAACCAAUAAGUCCGUUUGACAGGGUACAAUACCCUCAGUCCAGAUAAGAUUGGACUAUGUAGAACCACACCUCUCAAGUUCGAUACUCGUGAAGCCAGAUCAAGCGUAGGGCCGCUACCAACCGAUUGACCAUAUAGUAUUAGAUGUUCAUCAUUUACCCCAUACUUCUCCUUGAGGCAUUUAUAUGCAGCAUCAAUGUCUGCAUAUGUGUUAUAUUCAGUUGGCUGUUCCAAAAGAAAAUAUUAUAAAAUGUUACUAAGCAUUAUUGAGGUUCAAAACUCAACAGUCAUCAAAACAAUGGCAAUGACAAUCUCAGCAGAUGAUAUUCAGAUCACGUAUUGGACCUCUUAACUGUUCCAAUCAACCAAUCCCUGAAUCGCUGGUUCAGGAAGUAAUUGGAAGCCUUCCCAAAGGAAAAGGGAAGUUUCAAUUUCAAGUUUAAAUUUAUAAUCUUUCCAGAUAAAUUUUUUCCCCAUUUAAGAAACAAUUAUCAUCGAGAAGAAUGAAACAAUACAAUGGCGUACAAAAACUAAGCCAAAAAAAAAGGGAAUGCCCUCUCAAAAAACAGGCUCUAGCGAUCUAAAAUAUUGCAUCUAAAUGCAACUAACACAAAAUAUCAUUGAGAUUCAAACUACAAAAAAAACUCUAUGCUUGCAUUAAAUGCAAUAUAAGAGCAAAAUAUAUUAUUUGGCAAAUAGCGUGAAAAACUAAUUGUCUGCGAUUGCACUGGUAAAAUGGAGAGUGGAGACCAUAUACAACUCACAUGACUACAUAAAAUUUCAACAUUGACGAUAUAGUGAUCAUUCUUAUUCAAAUAACAAGAAAUAUGUACCAUGAUAACUCUUACUUUUAUACAAGAAACAAGUCAACCAUGAUACAAUUUAACAACUAAAGGUGUUGUGCUUACAAGUCUUAAACUCAGCAUACUUUUAUUUAGAGAAACUAAAAUAUCUAUUGCAGUCAUUUACUAAUCAUGAGCUAGUUUAGGUUGUUUCUUCUAUUACCAUAAUUAAGUUCAACCCUGUUCCUAUUGAAGCUAUAAGAUCUAGAAAAUGAACAAGCACUUUCCCUUCCUUUUUCUUUAAAUGCCCAUGGAAUUAUGCCUCAUUUUGCGAAUCCAUGAGGAGUCUUUAAGUUGUAUAUUGAACCAUCAAUUCAUCCAAAAGCUUAAGCUAGUGGUUGAAGGCAAAUUUAAUUAUAUAUCACUAACAGUAUUGAUGACUGGGCUUGCUGAUAUGGAAGCUUAUAUAAAACUUGGAAAAAAUUAAACCACCCCGAACUAUGUGGUUGGUUACAAUUACACCCUUCAACUUUCAAUUUGGUCAAUUAUGGCCUUAAAGUUUGUUAAUGGUUGCAAUUAGCCCCUUAUUUAUAAAUUAAUAAUUAAAAGUGGGUAGUUUAAAAUUAAAAAUAAUAAAAAUAAAUAUUAUCACCGACAAUCUCAAACCAUAACUUCCCAUAAAAUAUCUUUGAAGGGGACUUAAAGAGACGAUUCUUGUACUUAUGAAACUCCUUAAAAAGGUAAGUACGCUCCUCCUUCCUCUUCUUUGUAUAAAACUCCUUAAUACCAUGUCCAUGUCUGAAUCAAAUGUAAAACAUAUCAAUGGAAUCUGAUUCGCAAGCUUCCCCAUGUCACUAAUAAUCUCAAACCCAAAUCAUAACUUCCCAUUCUUUCAAGGGAACUUAAAGAGGCGAUUCUUGUACAUAUUUUGAAGUAGAAAAAUUAGAAACAAACCAUCAAUUAGGAGUAUCCAUGAUAAGGUUUCACCACGAAUUUCAAAGGGUUGAUCGAGACAUGCUCGGAUUUUGAGCUCCAAUGACUUAAGCUGAUCUGGAGGUUAUGGAUUUUGGGACCCUAUUUUAGAUUUUUGGCUUUGCCAAGUUCAAACAACUCCAUCUUGUAAAGCUUUGUUGGAAAUAGUGGUAGGUUUGAACAGAAAGGGCAUGGCCAACUUCAUCAUCUUCACACGCAAUGUCACUAUCAUUUACCCUUCUUCAAAUCAAGUUGUGCAAGGCUAUUGUCUUAUUCCUCCAGUUCGGCAUCUUCAUAUUCUCCUUCUCCAACUUCAUUCCCCACUACUGUACCUUUUUGCAUAAAAAUGACUGCUUUCAUGGAGAAAAAAUGAAAGAAUAAGACAUACAAAAUGAACCAAGCCCGUAGGAAAAAACCCUACUGAAGAAAGCUUUAUUUAGGAGUUAGGUCCUCAUCUACUAUUCUAAAACCUUCUCACGAUUUUGAUUUUGUGUUGAUAAUACAAGCUUUUGUCUUCACCUCUCGACAUGGGUUUGAUUGCAUUUGCUUGAAUUUUCAUCUUCAACUUUUUGUGGUUUCAACAAGAACCAUCGUUGUGCUGGUUUUCUUUUUUUCUUGACUGAAAUCCCUUGUGGGAUUUCUGCCAAAUUCAUUCUCUCGAGUGAGUUAUAGAUUUACUUGAAUUACUUCUGCAUUGUACAAAGACUAUUCCUUAACGAAUUCUGGUUUUUUUAAAAGAAAAACUUGAUCAAAAUUCUGAGUCAUUUUCCUAAGAUAUGUUGGCCGUUGGUCACUUCUUCCAUCAUUUCCUCCGACACUCUAGGCUGAUAUAGAAAUUGGGUGUUCUUGAAUAGGUUUCUGCCAUUCAAGUUCAUUUUUCAUAACCAGGAUAGUAGUUUCUGUCUCUAAACAUAUAUGUUUUGAUGUAAAGUUCCACUUCUUGAACAUUCUUUGUAUUUCUUCUACCUUAAAAGGGCUCCCCCCUCUUAUUAGGUGUGCAUGGUUUGACAACAAGCACAACUCACGCAACCUAAAACCAAAUUGAUGUAGCCUAAAAAUGACUAGGGAGCAAGUUCUCCCAUAAUCAAAAACCACAAGAACUUUAUUAUCAAUCAAAGUGUAUUCAAAUACAUGAGAGGAUCCCUCUUUAUAUGAGAUUUAAUACAAACUUGCACCAAAACUUGAAAAAUGCACAUGCAUAAAUUUUGAAACACGAUUAUAUCAAAGCAUUAAUUCAUUCUUAGCUACAUUUCUUGGAAGAGACAACCCAAAUAAAUGAAAAUUUAGACAGGCAAUACACGUACAAAUUUACAAGAUAGAAAGAAAAAGGAAAAUACAUCCUACCUUUCCAGUUGAUUGUCCAUAGCCAGAAUAAUCAUACCUGCAUACGAUAGGAAAUAAAGGAUCGUGAACCAAUUUGGCAAGUAGAUACAGACAAAACUACUUUAAGAAAUUUGAGGUACAAUGAAUGCACGCUUCAGCAGUUACAGGUAGUAAAGAGGUUGUAAUCACUGCAUUCAUGAGUAAUUAGCAGAAAAGUACUCCGAAGUGAAGUAACUUCCUAACCAUAUUGUUUUUCAAAAUAAAAAACCAACUUUUAUGAAAAUGAAUGAGACUUCAAAACCAGAUGGUCAUACAUGCAAGAGAAAACUCAACUAUGAAUUACAAAAAAGGCUCCAAAUGUAGAGAGACACAGAUGAUGAUCAUUAAUUUCUUUUCCAGAAAACAAAAGUCACAGAAAAGUUCUUUUGCUCGAUGUAUAAUUCUCUUGUACUUUGAACUUUUGUCUUAUAUUUAUUAUUAAUAAAAGAGACGUGUUUCCCUUUUAAAAGUCACAGAAAAGUUCAAAAAGAAGCACUAUGCAUCCUGAGUUACAGAUCUCCUCCCAUGACCCAUUUACAAAUUACACCCAUUAACCCUUUUGAUUGUCUCUAUAGUGAAUUAUCUGCCAAAGGAUCCUUUUCUUUUAACAUUAAAAAAUAAAUUCCAAAGAACCUUAUGCAAAUCCAAGUAGAGUCGAAUAUAAUUCCCGAAGCCCCAAAAGAUUUAUAGCAAAUCUAGAUUGCAGAUCACUGCCUCACAGCAUUCAAUUUCCUCCACCAUUCACUUAUCUUGUCUUAUAAUGAUCAACAAAUCAAACGGAUAGAAAUGAGUCGCAGUCCAUCAUCAUUACCCUGCAUAUGACCUAGCACAAGGAAACAAACACUCCCACUAGCUUCCCACCCAGUUUCCUUAAAACCAAUCAAUAAGAAAGUGAGAAAAUAGGAAAUACUACUCUGCAAAGUAAGUUCAAGCACCUUGCUUAGUAAUAUCAUCGUGUGAUUGAAAGAGUGUUUCCUACAGUUAAAAAAUUAAAGUAGACCUAAUUUUAAACAAUAAAGUGGAUGCAUAAAUAUUCCUUUCUCAUGACUUUGCUCUGAAGUACAGUUUGAGAAAAAUCCACUCUUCUGUGCUUCCAUGUCCUCCCUUUUACUGCUUUUCUCCCAUCCCUUUUCCCCCACUUCUAUGGAGAAAACAAAUCUGAAAAUAAAGCAUUCAUUUCAUUUCUAAGAGGAUAUCAUCUAAAAUUAGAACCUUGGAUAUAACUACUUUUACACAAGAGUUCUCUAAAAGGAAUGAUGACAGCUUUACACGCAAAACAAUCGAAUUGGAAGUCAAGAAAACGCGAACAGUUGUCAUAAAAAUACUCCAAAAGGCCUCAACAGAAGGAAAUUUGCAAAAAUGUUCUUCCUGAGGAUUAAUUCCUAAUAAUUUAAACUGAAGGUAAACGUCCUAUCGAAAAACCCAGAACUAUUUGGCUAUAAUUUGAACUGAAAUUGAACUCCUAUUCAACUCCCCACUAUAAAUGAACUACACCGCUUCCAAAUAAAGAAGGAGAGAGAAAUCCCGAACGCAAUAACAAAAACAUACUAAAUUAAGCAUCACCCACAUUAGAACAAACAAAAUUAAAGAAGGAGGAAAUGGCGUAGGUGCUACUAAUAUGAACAAAGAAGCAUAAAAAGAAAAAGAAGAAGAAAAAUUACCCCAUAAGAUUAACACGAAGCCGAACACUCAAUUCGACAAAAAGCUCGAACAUCUGGCCCAAAUCAGCAGCAUUCCCAUGGGAGUAGAGGAGAGUGCCGGAAGGUUUAGGGUGUUUAACAUGAAGGGCGACAAUAUCAUUCCCCCGACGCGUCCGAAGACGAAGAACAUCAACAUCGUCACGUCUGGGAAUCUCGGGAAUGUAGAGACGGCCAUGGCGGGAUUCAUCGGCGAUUACAGUGUAAGAAGGCGGAGUGGGUGGGAAGAAGGCGAAUUUAGCAGCGAUUGAAGAAGUGACUCCCCCCAUUUUGGUCUUCUUCUCAUCAGAGGCGUGGGAUUCAUAAAGGCCCCGAAAAGACCCGUUACUUGAGAAUUGGGAGCGAAAAGCAAAAACCCAGCUCAGAUCCUUAAGCUUUAGGUGUGAAGAAUCAUAGAAAGAGAAAGAGGAGUUGGAGUAGAAGGGGGGAAGUUGGAAAUCGCUCUCCACUAAUCCAAAAAAAGAGGAACAGUGGAGCGAAAGUGGACAGCAAAGAAAGGGAGUUGAAAAGUAAGAGGACAAAAAAAAGAGAAAGGGGAGUAGAAGAGGGCGCGUGGGAGGAGGAGGAGGCGGCGCGUGAGAAAUGAAGAAACUGAAGUUGGAAACUUCGUCAAAAUGAAAUCUCCGAGUUGCUUAAAGGAGAAAGGACGAGAAGAGAGUGAUUAUGUACUACACUACGUCGCAUCUCUAUUAAGAUUCAAGGUAUCUCGUUAUCUUAAUGGAAUGAAUGUGGCUCCCACCUGCCCUCCAUUAUUAUUAUUAUUAUUAUUAUUAUUAUUUCUCCUGUGGGCCCUCCCCUUUCUUUUACCCAAUUACCAACAACUCCUUUUUUUGCCUUUCUUUUCAUUCAAAUUCAUUUUUCUAUCCAUCUUUUCCCUUCAUUUUGGGUACCUAUCCUCAUCUUUUUUCAUUUACAUACUCUUUUUUCUUUCUUAAUCUUCAUACUAUCUUCCAACAUCUUUUAUAUAUUUCAACUCUUUUACAUUCAUCUUUUAUUUUAAUCUUUUUUACAUUCCCUUCUAUUUAGACUCCACUCCCUCCAAUUCCACACCUAAAACCAAUACCUUAGGUUUCAUAUACAAAUAUUUCAUUAAUUACCUUUUUUUUCUCAAUCAUUUCUUUCAUUAAUUUUUUAUACUAAAUUUCUCAUUAUAUUAUUUUUUGUUUGUAUAGUUACGUUGGAUUGGAUUAACUUUUUUACAUGUCAUAUUGUCCACAACUUCAAUCAAAAGGUUUAGGUAUUUGAAUGAGUUCAAAUAUUAAUCUAAUGUGAAAUAGAUUCAUAUUUAAAUUAUUGGUUAUUAGAUAAAUUUAUAUUUCAAUAUGAUUCAAAUUUAAUUUAAUUUAACUAUUAAUUAAUUGGAGAAUUAAUUAAUAGUUUAGUUUUAUUUAAUUUAAUUUAAUAUAAUUUAAUUAAAUAUAAUUUAAUUAAAUGAAUAUAAAACUAUAAGAUAUUGAAAAAAUAUUUAUUAAAUAAAAUAUUUAAUUAAAUAAGAUUUAAUUAAUUAUUAACUAAUUGAUUAAAGGAUAACUAAUUAGUUGACGUGAAAUUUCUAUUAAUUUAAUAUUUUUAAAAUUAAUAGAAUCACGAUUCUCUUCUACUCUCUUUUCUAGCUCAAGAAGAAAAGAGAGUUAUAAAUAUCUAGAAGGAAACAAUUUUGUUUAAACGAUUCAAUCAACAAAAAAAAAAAACUACUAAUUUUGUUUGUGUGCAAAAGAGUUUCUCUAAAAUAUCUCUAAGUUUUUUUUCAUCCUAAUUGGUUCCCACGAACCAAUCUCAUCUUAGAGAAUAUGAAGGUUUCUAAAGGAUGGUGUCCCAAUCUCGAGAUUUAUUUUGUAGAUUCAGAGAUGUCAAACAAGUAGUUUUUCUUUCUCUAAUCUAUAAUUAGAAAUCAUGCUUACCCUUUAAGUCUUGAUAAGGAAACUAGUAAUUUCUUAAUUAUUUUUGCCAAUGUACUGGUAUUUUGAGAUUACCAAAUUAAAUAUGAGUAAUUGUUCUGUAAAAUCUUUUGCUGUCAUAGGGUUUUUAUCCCUUCACCAUCUGCCACUUUUGUCUUCUAGCAAGUCUUUUCUCUUGUGGUGAUUUGGUCUUUGUGCCUUGUGUUUGAGCGAGUUCAUCUGCGAUUUGCUAGCUUAUUCUUUUGUUAAUAAUCCUGCAUUUAGAUACUAAAAAUGGGGUAAAGCAGUCAUCUAAAUAAUUUUGUAUUUACAACAUAAACUAUGCGUUCUGACAUACUUAUCACACGUUUUGGUCUUAUUAUUCUACCUAAAAGGCCAUAAUAACUUGUAUUCCUACAAGCUAUCAUGCUCUGAUCGUGAUCUUCCUUUACGCGAUAAGACACCAUGCAGCGAAGAUAGCCAAUGCGAUAAGAACUACUAUACGAUGAAAAAAGACUACGCGGGAAUCCUUAUUGUGAUAUAAGCUUCAUCGAAAAGUGAUGAUCUCAUGUAAGGAAGUUGGCAAUUGAUUUGACCUUGUGGUCCAAUCCAAAUCCAAGAUAAGGAUAUGACAGAGGCACGUGACAUCUUAACACUGGACCAAUUCCCAUCACCGGCAGAAGUAAUCAUUCUGACAUAAAAAAUUUCAUCGAAAAAGUCAAUAAAUAGACGAAUUCUAAUCAUUUUAAAGCUAUUUUUACCCUUAGUCUACUUAAGAGAAGAUUGAGAGAAAUUCCAAGGUUUUUAAAGAUUCUAAAUGAGCUUGACUUCGAUCGAAAAGUGCAAGGAAGCUUGAGGUCUAAAAGAUAACCGAUUGUGACUAUGAGUGGCUCUUCUUAUAAAAUGUUUUCCAAAAUGAAAAGGUUUCUCAAAUGUGAGUUUAAAUCCUUACUAUAUUUCUACUGAAACUAUAAACGACAUGAUUUCUCUUAUGCUUUCCAAAUCUUAAAAUGUGAAUCAGACCUACAUAUGAACUAGAAUGACGGGAUAAGAUGAUGUGUAGUUGAGAAAUACAUAAGAUUUGAUAUAAACGUGCAAUGAUGAAUUGGGAUGAUCUUCUGUACGUUAUGCGAUGAGAAUACCUCAUACUUGUUGUGUGAUUUGGUAUGAGAUGUCUUACCCUUGUUAUGUGAUAUGGCAUGGAAAGAGGCGUACUGCAUAGUGGAAUUUAUGAAACUUUCUAAAUACGUUGAGAUUACUCUGCAUAGCUGUAACUUGGCAAAAUAGUAUGGUAAACGCUUGAGCUAAGGAAAUGGUAUAAAGAUGUAAUUGAAUAAGCAGAAUGACAUUGCAGAAAAGACUAUUAUGCGAAACGCAUACUCUUCGAUAUGAUGAAUAAUGAAAGAAUUGAUUCUUCCCUUUGAUUUAUGAAUUGUUGAUAAAAAUUGAGAUUUUGAAAAACGUCCAACGCCUUGAAUAAUUGCUUUAAACUGAAAGAUAUAGUGAUUGACUUGCUUAUUAUUUAUAUCGCUUGAUUUGGCAAAGUGUUUAUAUUGUAUUAAGGCAAACUUGGUUUAUCGAAGUUGUUGAUAAAAGAUCUCACUCACUAGACAUUUUCGUCUAACCUUUCGAAUGUUUUGUUUUAUUUUCCAUUUCCCUAGGUAGCGAAGGACAUCUUGCGUUAAACUUGCAGCAUUGAUUGCCUACCGUGUCUUUUGAGAACACAUCAUUUUAGUAGUCACUGUUGUCAACUCGCAUAAGCAUAUAGUAGCUAGGCGAGGAGAGUCCAAGUGUUAUUUAAGUUGUGUUUAGUGAUUUUGUAAAGAAUGUUGUAUAAAGUACUGAAUGUACUCUGUUACUUGAAAUAUCAAUGAGGUUUUCACAUUUCAGCUAAGUCCACAUUCCUCCUUAAAUAUUUUUAUGGUUGUCUUUAUUUUCGUUUACUAGGCGUUCUGUGCGUUAUUUUGCAAAGAAUGUCUACGCGAUCACGUCUCCACUUCAUCGCAUAGUGUUUUUGGAGCGGGGCGUGACAAUUAUAAUUGGCUCAUGAUAAGAAUAAAGCUAAUGGUUUACUUACAUACAAGCAUCAUAUAAUUAAAUACUUUAACUUGGAAUACUUCAACUUGAAAGACAUUCUUAAAAUAGUCAUGUUUUUCAUAUAUAAAUCAUAAGAUUACAUCAUAUACUAUACACAACACGACAUAACUUGAAAGAAACUUAGGAAAACUUUAUCCUUUUCUUUGAAGAGUCACUCACACAAACUAGAAUUUCUUUACUUUCUUUUUCCUAACACCUUGACCUUCCCUUUUAUACACUCGUCGCCUCGAUCUUUUUUGGCAAAGCUUCAAUACUUAAUAUUUCCUUAACACUUACUUCGAAACCUUAAGUCCUAUUUAUAUUAAUUUUAAACUGGAAUAGUCAUCGCUAAACUCAUCUUAUCUUGUUAGCUUCUUCUUAGUGCUUUACACGUGUAGGUUUAACACCUUCUUUAACCAUGCUACCCUAAACCAAUACGUAAGACGACACCUAGUAAUGUGGAUUAGUAGCUUUACGUAAAUUUCCCAACUUUCUUUCCUCGCUUCACCCUUGCCUAACUCAAAACACAACUCUUCUCACAUUUAGCUAACUGAAACGCAUACUCUUCUUCGUGUUGCUUAGCUAGGACACAUACAUACCUCAAAACGACAUACCCUUAAAAUUCUUCAAAACGCCUAAGCUUUAAACUCAACUCUUGUUCUCAAAGUGCAAGUUUCACGGUCAUUGCAAAUAUUAUGGGAGGGAGGGUAUGAGAAAAAUAAAGAGAAAAGGAUUUCUAAUGAACGUGGGUUGUAAUAAGUUGAAUUAUUUAACGCGAACUCACUCACAACUCAGCUUGAAAAUACCUCAAAGAUGGAAGGCUUUAUUUGUUCAUUAAAUGAUAGCAAUUAAAGGAAUUUUCAAUUUAACAUUUUGUACUUAGGUGGAGGCAAAUCAUUUCUAAAUCCUUCUAAUAAUUCCAAGUUAAAAUUAGCAAAUUAGUUUUGGUUUGGUUAAUUUCAUAAAUACAACAAAUCGACAAAAUAUUUACCGUCCGUGUAACAAAAUGAAAAUGUACUAAAACUGAGAUCUUUUUUAAAAUUUCAGGUUUGUCUUUCCUUUUCAUUGUCCUUUUUUCUUCUUCUGUAAUUUUUUUAAAAAUAUUUCCACUUGUCCUUCAUUUUCAUAUUCUUUCUUCUACAAAUUUUCUUUCAUCCUCAUCGUCUUUUUUCUCUUCUCCUAUAAUUUUUUUCUUUUCCUUUCCAUCGUCUUUUUUUCUUCUUCUGUAAUUUUUUUAUUUUUUUUCAAAUUGUUAUUUGGUUCAAGAUCGUGCUAUUUUUUUUCAAACUCUUAUUUGAUUUUUUUAAGAUCGUGCGUCAAAUAUAAAAGCUUCUAAAAAAAUAGUUGGAUAUUGGACUACCAAAUGUAAAUGAUCGUGUACAAAAAAAAUAGUCAAAUCUAAACUAUCGUGUUCUAAAUAUAAAUGAUUGUGUACUAAAUCUAAACGAUAGUGUACCAAAAAAAUCUUGAAAAAAAAUCAUUGAGAUUUGAGUACCCUAAUUUAAAUAAUAAAAUCUAAACAUGUUCCAAAUUUAAACAAUCUCAUACUAAAAAAAUCGUUUAGGUUUGACUACCCAAAUUUAAACGAUUAAAUUAAAUCAUCAUGUACAAUCCUAAACGAUAUUAUACAAAAAAAAAGUCUUGAAAAAAAUUGUUUAGAUUUAGUUAAUCUAAAAGACGGGGUCGUGUGAUUUAUUUUUUUUUUUGAAAUUAUUCUAUACCAUAUAAAUAUUUUACCUUGGUUAUAUUUUUGAAAAGUCCCAUGUCCAUUUGAUUUUGAUUAACAAAAUAAUAUGUAUUUUUCAAUACUCAUUUUUGAAAAGUCGCGUAACCACAUAAUAUAGCCUACCAGAUUACCAAAUCAUUAUACUUAACAGUGAACACACAAAAUUUCUCAAACCUAAUUCCAAGCGUCUUUAAAGAAAAUAAAUCUUUGUUUAAAAUACCAAUUUGAGUAUUAUUCUUCUAUUUAUUAAUCUUUACACUUACAAAUGUCCAAAUUUGUUCUCUAAAUUAUCAACAUAUAGGAAUACGAAUCAAAACAAUAUUAUAACGAUAAUUCUUUUAUUUACAUGAAAAUUUACAGAGAAAGUUCAGAACAACAUUGAGCUAAUGGAUGAUACAGCUUCAAAUGCUUUUGUAGUCUAUAUGGGUAUCGAAACAAACUAAAUGCAUAACGUUUACAUCUCUAAUUUCUAUCCCUUAAUGUUCAAAUCAGCUAAGUUAAACUAUCUCAUCAUCUACAUGUAUAUAAAAAAUGAAAACAAGUUAAUUACAAUCACCAGUAUAGUAUCUCUCAAUUGACAUAUAACAUGUGCUAUCCAACUAUGAGGUUUGUCAUGUAUUCCAAUCAAAUUACAAAACCUUCCACUAUUUCCAAUCUGUUCUUUGUGUUUCAAUAGUUACAAAGAGUAAACAGAACGCUGCUGUGAGGCCAUUUUCUGGAGCUGUCUGCUAUUGAUGGCAUUAAGUUGUUCUGUUCAAGACCUUCAUCUGUUUAAUCAAAGAAAAUGUGAGCUUAAGAACUGUAUUAAUGAUUUAUUGUCACUGGAUAAUAAAAAAUUAGGCACGGUUCUUUUAUAUCCACGAGUAUUCGACCAAUUUAUGUGAAGCUCCAAUAACUUCAUGGGAGAACACUUGACCCUAUGGUUAUCGUUAUAUCAAAAUCAAGGUAGAUUUUGAUUAUGUAACGACUUUGUCUUUCUAGUUUUAAGGUCUCUAACCAACUUAUAAUCAACCAUGGUAAAAACGUAGCCACAGAAAAAACAUAUCAUAUCAAAGAAAAAAUUCAGCUUUAAAAGGGAAGAGAAAAGAAAAGGGAUAAACUUCAAUAUGAAGGUAGGAUAGAGUUUCUAACCCAUUUAUCUGUCACUGGUCCAGAUUCUGGUGAUUGCGGAGAUGAUGUAUUUCUUAAAAGCCUCACAUUAUCAGAACCUAAAUCUACUAGCACUUCUGCUUUACGAGCAGCCACUUCUUCAUUCUCUAAUUCUCUAAGAGCUUCCACCACUUCAUCCAUUGAAGGUCGCGCAUCUCUCGUUUGUUGAAGACAUCGAUAAGCCAACUCGGCCACUGACUUUAUCAUCGACCUUACUGCAUAAUCCCUCUCAAACCCAAGAUCUGGAUCAACUAAAUCAGCCAAUGCUUGAUUGUGAAUUCUAUUGAUAGCCAUAUUAGACAAAUUGAUAUCGUCUCUGUUCCUGUUGACGUCAACUGCCUGCAGUGACGAUAUAAGCUCGACCAAAACCACUCCAAAGCUAUAAACAUCGCUCUUGUCGGUAAGUUGGUAGCACUGAUAGUACUCAGGAUCAACAUAGCCUGGUGUUCCUUGUGGAGCAGUUGAAACGUGAGUAACGUUGAUGGGAAAUAACCGUGAGAGGCCGAAAUCAGCCACUUUUACUUUGAAGUUGUUGUCUAGAAGAAUGUUAUUGGUUUUGACAUCGCGAUGAAUGAUAUCUUUUCGAUGGAGGUAUGCCAGUGCAUUAGCUGUUUCUAUGGCAAUCUUGAGCCUAACAGACCAAGUGAGGAGACCUGAAUUUGCUUGUUUUCCAUGAAGAUGGUCAGCCACUGUUCCAUUAGAAAUGUACUCGUAUACAAGGAGGAGUCCCUGGCUUUGUCUCGAUGUGCAUCCGUAAAGCUUCACGAGAUUAGGAUGUUGCAAUUUUGAGAGAAUCUCAACUUCAUUUGUGAACUGCUGAACACGUUUGUAAUUAUUCUCGUAUAGCCGCUUUACUGCGACUGUCCUUCCAUCCUUGAGAGUUCCUGAUUAACAGUCAAGACAAAUCAUUCAAGUAACACUGCCAUGGAACAUCCAAUCAUGACCUCCUUACAACAUACCCAACCAAAAUAGUUUAAAUAGUACAUCGUCCUUAUACUCUCAUCGUAGGUCUUCUAUUUCUAAAAUGCUUAUUUUGGACUCUGAGUUUUAAAUUUGUCCAUUUUAAUUUUAGUCCACGUACUUUUGGAAUUUUUUUAUCUCUAUUGUCCAAGUUCUAUAUUCAACUAAAACUUUUCAAUACAAAACUAGAAAUACAUUUUAAGUUGUGUUGAGUAAAAUGUCUUGAUAUGUGUACAUGUAUAACUAAGAGAUUGGAAGAUUCACAUUUUAGAAGUAGAACUAACAACAAACAUUUCAAAAGUAUGGGGACUCAAAAUCAAUGAAAAUUAAAAAUUUGAGGAUCAAACCAGACGUUUUCAAAGUACAAAAAUCAAAACUAAAAGUACAAACACAUGUUCUUACCAAAGUAGACAGUACCAUAACCUCCAUCUCCAAGCUCUCUUGAACGGUCAAAAUUAUGAGUUGCUUCCUCAAGUUCGGCAUAAGUAAAGACUUGAGCUCCAAAGUAAGAGCUUCCGUUCUCUAUAUUAGAUCUUGAAUAAGGAUAGGAAGGAAUACUACUAGAGCGAAAAGUUGAGGGAGUCGGAAUGCCUCCACUUGAAGGAGGUGAAGGAAGAUCUUUGCUUUUCAACUUCAUAACACGUUUUUUAUUGCGUUGUGUAGUGCAGAAAACAAAGCAUCCUAAGCAUAGGCCUAAUACAGUUGCCCCUCCAAUAGAAAGGCCUGAAGACAAAAAAAUGUGUAUAUAUAUAUAUAUUACUUUCAAUUCUCAACCAUUUAACUGAUGUAUAUAAAACACAAGUAAUUCAUACCUACUAUCAGGCUUGUUUUAUUAGAUCGAUUCUCACCUAAGGCACAAGAUCAGAACUUGUCAGAUGAAACUUAUAUAAGCAUUAUAAGGAGAAAAUGGUAUGAUAAAGUAACAAAAGUGAAGGGAAGAAGAAAUUGAGAGAAAUGAAUGGCUGAAAUGUCAAACGUAACAGAGCAGAAAAUCUUAUUGAUAGAAAGAUGAUAUGAAAUAAAGAGCCUAAACAAAAUUAAACCGUCUUGAGGUUUGCAACAUCGUACACCAACCGAACCACCAUGAGCUGGCCUAAGAGUUAGGAAGAAUGACUUUAAGUCACAUGAUGGAUAGUUAGUCAAGUGCGUUUGGGCCAAUUUAGACUUGGUUCAUAGGACUAUAAUAGCUCAGUUGCCAUUUGGAGCGUGUAUUGUUAAGAAAUGAGGAUAAAAGUUUUUAUAAUCCCUGUUUUGCUACAAUUUAUCAAUUCUUCCUCCCUUCAAAUUUUGGAUGACUUCAGCUGUCAACAGCCAACUCUAGAGACAAUCAUGGUCGACAUUUUUAUUGUCUAAUGCCAACUCUAGUCAUUGCCUAUAACAUGGUCUGGUGAUUAACUCGCACAACACCUCCACCAACCACUCUCACAACCAAAUUCAAUGAAGACCACCUUAGAAGAUAAACUACAAGAACCACUUUCUGACACCCAACUCCUAGUGAUGAACAUUUGGCGUCUAGCUCCCACAACAAUCUCCAAUUACCAACUGCACAUCACCACUAACACACAUCUCCCAACUAACUUCAUUGAUAAUCUCUAACCACUAACUCAAACAACGAACUCAGUCCCAUUAUAUACUAAAAAAAAAGAUUGGCUGUUGAAAGCUUUUAUUAAUACAAAAUUGAAAUAAUUAGCUCAAGUGUUUAAUAGUUUUAUUUCAUGGUAAUUUGAGAUUAAUUUAAUUAACUUCAUGUUAAAUUUAAUUUCAAAUUUCAUACAUUGUUUUUGCACCUUAAUCUUAUUUGAUCUAACAAUUUUUCUUAAUUUGAGAUUAAUUUUAUAUUGCUUGAAUUUGGAUUUUACAUUAUUUUAAAAAAAUUUAACAUAAAAUUGGGAAGAUGAAUUAAUUCAAGAUAAAUAAUAGAAUCUAACCAAAAUUUUGUUUAGAUUUGGCACAGAGUUGCAAGAUAGACUCUUUAGAAUUGGAAUUUGAUUUGGGACGAAUUGUGGAUUAUAAUAUGAAUCAAAAUUCACAUUUUUACAGACUCCAAAUUUGUAAUUUUGAAUUUUUUAAUGAAUUUUUUGAAGUUAUUUUUUAAAAUAUUGAUAUUUAUGUAGGCUAGUGUUGUUGAAACAUUGGAGGGAGAAAAAGAAAAAGAAAUUAAAGGAAGAAAGAAAGAUUAAACUAUUUAAUACAUAUUUAAAUUCGAAUAGUGAACACAGUGGAAGUUGGUGGAUGAAAUUACUCAACACUUGUGAAGUAUUGGACAGAUACUCCAACCAAUGCAAGUUAAACAGAUUUACUACAUAAGUAUACCUUUACAUCUAGUUGUAAAAUGUAAUUGUUUUAAAAUAACAAAAUUGUUGAAAAUAUUUACAAAAACAUUAUAAGUUGUAGUGAUGAGUGACGUAGUCUAUCGAGGUAUGUUCGACAAAGGAGUUGGAAAGUAAGAGUUUUGAGCACCACUCCUUACUUGGCCCAAAAGAGGUUGGUGGUUCUUAUUAUUAAAAAAUAUUAUUUCUAUAUCUUAUUAACGGCAUGAUUGAGACCAAAAGGACACAAUUACCAAAAUUUGGUAACUUUUUACUGUUCACUAUUUCAUUCAUCUACUCCAAGCAUCCUCUAGUGUUUAUAAUUGAUAGAUAUUGAUAUUAUUCUAUAUUUAUAAAUAUUUUAAUUUUUUUUUGCUAUAUUUGAAAAUGUUAGUAAUAGAGUAAUUAAUAAUUUAUUUUAAAAUAAUUAAUACUAAUAUAUGAAUUUUUUAAAAAAAAUUCUCUAAUCAACAAGACAUGGAGGAGCAUAAGCACCAGGCUUCUUUUACUCCGCUAGAAAUAGAAUAAUUUAUAAUCAAAAUAAAAAUCAACGGAAAGUAAUAUGAAAAUAAUAAUAAAUGAAGACAUAAUAGGUUCACUAAUAAGAAAUGAAAACCAAAUUUGAUGAACUUUAAGAUAUAGAAAUAGAUGGUGAUUCUCACUAAUUCAUUCUAUUCAGUAUUUCAUUUUAAACCAACUAUCAAACCCAGGAGUAGUUCAAUAAAAAUAAAUAAAUAAAUGAAUGAAUAUGAUAUAUUAUUUAUUACUGUAUAUAUGUAUAUUUGAAGAAACUAUUAUAUACAUUAAAACUUAAAAAAUCAUUAACUAUCAACUACCAUUAUUGGUAGACCCAUGCCUAAAAUAUAACAAGGUAAAGAUCAAUUAAGAAUCUUAGAAGACCAAUUUCAAAAAUAUCAAUUCUCCUAUUUUAGAACAACAUCCUCACCAAAAAAAAUUAUAUAUCUAUCUAUAUGUAUUUGUUCAUUUUAAAAGUUCAACAAAUUUUCUUUUAUUUUUUAUUUUUAAUUUUAAAUUUUUGGACUGAUCAAGUAUUUAUUCAAUGGAAGUUGAAAAGUUAAACGAACCAUAAUCUACGGAAGAUCAGGACUAGAGAGGUUUAUUUAACCAGCAGAAACCAGCUUCAGAUGAGACAGGAAAGGGAGUGAAAUUUUUUUUUUUUUACCCGUCGGCAACACGAGACCAAGGACCGGAAAUACAUUUUCUUGACUCUGUCCCGAUUAAAAAUAUAAUUAAUUAAAUAUAUAUUAUAUAAACUAAAAAUAAAUAUAAUAUUUAUUUAUUUAACAAUAUAUAAAAUAGUAAAAAAAACAUAUUUUGAUAUUUUUAUUUCCUUAUUUUCUUUACUUGUAAACUUUUGAGAAAAAAAUAUAUGGUUGUGUUUAAGAUGGAAUUAAAGGUUUUGUUAAAAUAUUGAUUUUUUUAUUGUUUUUAUAAAAUUUUAAGUUUUAUAGAUAAAUUUUGAAAUUUUUAUUUUCACCCAAUGAAUGUGAGGUUUUAAUGAUUUUAAAUAAGAAAAUUGAUAAACAACCUUCAAAAUUUAUAAACGUUCAAAGAUGACAUUUAAGUUAAAAAAAAAAAAGAAUAUUUCCCCGUGGACAUCUCUAAUCGGGACGAAGAUCAGGUCAAAAUAUCCGAAUUAGGGCUACAUACCCGGAGGAGAUGACGGAGCUCCACCGGCCUGAAGAUUCCUACAAGCUCCGUUGUCAAUAGAAUCGCCCACUCGACAAUAGCAAGUCGUCCGAUUCGAACUCAAAUCGUAGCCGCAAACCCCCUGCGACUGCUCACAAAUUCUACAUCUACCGCCGUCCUCCUUCAAUCUCACCUCAAAUCCCUCGUUAAAGGCCUUCAAUACCUCAGUUGAGUUCACAACAUCGCUCACCGGCGGGAAGAAAUUCAUAGAAACCGGCACGAUCACGUUCACAUUGCAGGGAAUAAAUUCCAUGGGGCUCACCUGAAUGAAGCCGGCGUUAUAUCCAGGACAGCUAAAUUGCCCGGCGACGGUAGAAGAGGAGCAGUAGAGCAAAGUAAUAUUGCGAUAAGUAGGAAUUUCAUUGAAGAGAUUGUAAUCGAUUGUGGUGUUGAUGAAUUUCUUAGGGCAGAGCGUACCCAUAUAAUCGGUUCUGGCGAUGGUGAGCGUUUGGAAGUUAUUUUGGAAGCUGUAUUUGAGAAUCUGAUAUUUAAUUUCCAUAAUAACGAUCGUCGUAUUACUACCUUCGCAGGCCAAUUGGAGUGCCGGAUAGCCGCAGUCGGGAGGCCUUCCGACGCCCCAGAAGGGGAAGCCGACGUUGGUGAUAUUGCCGCAGUUGAAGAGGUUGCUGCAGGAGCUGUAUAAAUCUAAGGGGUUUCCAAAGACGAAGGGAAGGGAAAAGGCAAAUAAAAGAAGGAAUGAGGAAAUUGGGGAAUCCAUUGAAGAACAGAGAAAGGGAAUUUUGAUCAGAUGGGUGGUUGUUCCAUUGGAGAAGAGAAGGGGAUGAGGUAUUGCCUAUUGGUAUUGGACUCUAUGAAAGUUGACUUGGUAUGGCAUUUGGGUCUUUGAAUGGGUUUAUGUUUUGUGGAAAUUUAAAGUUUAAUCAUAUUUGGAGGACAUUGAAAUUGGUGUGGUUUGGGGAAAUUUGUAUUUUAAUGAAAAAAUAAAAAUGUGGGAAUGUUGACUUGUGUUUUGGUGGUGUUGUGUUAAGGGAAGAAGAGAUGGAAAGUUUUUAUUGCAAUUUGUAACCUAUUAAGGGAAGAAGAGAUGGAAAGUUUUUAUUGCAAUUUGUAACCUAUUAAGAGUGAAGGAUUCAACGGCUUGAUUGUGGCAUCACUUUUGAGUUCAGGAGAGAAAAGUGAGUUGGUGGAUAGAGAAAACGGUGUAUGGAGAGGCACUAGUAAGUUGCUGAAGAAAUUUUGUCAUCCAAGAGAUAUGAAAGAUAAGUAAAUCAAAACGAGAAGAACGAACCCAAAAAUGUUCUCAUAUUGAGGGCGAAUUGGUAAUUAAAACUGAUUGAAAACAUGAGUAUAAAACAAAAGAAAAAAAGUGAAUAUUAUAGUUGUUUAAAGAUAAGUGAUUAUGCCUCUGUUACAUUCCAGGUUUAUAGCAUCAAGGAAGAAAAGUGGGAUGUAAGAGCUUUGUUUUACAUCGACCUAUUCGAACUCUUGAUAGACAUCUAAUCCAGUCGAAAAGAAAAUAUAAAAUUUUGGUUAUUCAUCUGAAACAACCAAUUGAAGCAUUUCACAUGAGAAUGUUAACUCAAGUAACAUUAAGGGAGUACCUAAUUCAGAUGUGAUAGAAGAGAGAAAAAAAGAGAAGAAGAAAGAGGAAUAAGAAAGACAAGGAAUGGUAGAGAAAGGAUUGGAAGUGAGGGAGUUGGUCACUCCAACAUUCUAUUUAACAAGUUAGCAAAAAGUGUGUAUUUUGAAAUAUUAAAUUUUACAAGGACAUUUAUCUAAGUGUCUCAAAGACAAAAGAAGGUAAGUAGAGGUGUGGUAUCUAGCUACACAUACUCUGACGCUCAAUACAAUAUUGUGUUUCUAAAUAACUAGACGUAAGAUAAAAUAGUAGGCUUUUCAAGCCUACAUUCGACUAAUGACUUGGUUGUUUAUAUAGUCAGGCUCAUAAUGCCUUUUAAAUUCUCAAAAUUGUCAAAUUAAUUCUAGAUGAAAAUUAAAUCAUUAUUAUUACAAUGGAUGAGACACUUAACGAUGUGCACUUUUCCAAAAUUUCAUAAUUCCCUUCAUGGUUCUCAUUUCGUUCAAAUUCAAAUUGUUCUGUAUUCAAUUUGCUUAGAGGUAUUUCUCCAUGAGUCCUUAGCUCCUUCUAAACUCUGCCUGAGGGUACUCUCCCUUGUAGAUCCUCUUCCUCUUGUGAGUCCCUCUUAGGAGGCUAGACAUUUCCAUUUCGAUCCUUCUUUUGUGAGCUACUCUUAGGUGGCUAGACUUUCUUAUGAGUUUUCUCUUUUUUGAUCUUCCUCCUCUGGGAGCUCCUCUUAGGAGGGCUAGGUUUUCCCUUGUGAGUCAUCCAACUCCUAGAAGUCCCUCUUAUGAGGGUAUAGGCUCUUCUCCUUUUGUCAGUCCCUCUUAGGAGGUCAAGAUUUUAUUCUUUGUGGGUCCUUCUCCUCCUAUGAACUCUUCUUAGAAGAUUAAUUAGGCUCUCCCACGUGGGUCUUCUUUUCAUGAGCUUUUUUAAUAGGCUAGGUUAACCUUCACGGUUUUCUUUCGCCUAUGAGUUCCUUUUAGGAAAAGCUAAGCUCCUUUAAGUUUACUCCUCUUGAGCUUACUUCAUGGACCUCAAUAAGUUAUUUAAGCUCCUUUCUCUAUGAUGCAACUAUUCCCUUGAGCUCUCUUCAAGAUUCAUAUGCGAUUACUCCUCUUAAGUUAUAACCUCUUGGGUCCUAUUGAGCUAUUUAAGCUCUCCCCAUGGAUGUUCUUUUUUUAGCUCUCUUUUAGACUCCUAUGAGCUUACUCCUCUUGAGUGUCUAUCUUAGAGAUCCAACUAAGUUAUUUAAGCACACUUCCAUGGGUGCUCUUCUUGAAUUCCCUCAUAAGAACUCCUCUUGAACCUUCUUCAUAAAGUCCCAUCAAGCUAGUUCUAAGCUUUCCUCGUGGGUACUCUUAAGCACCCAAUCUCUCAAUAGAUUAUGAGCUUUUUUUUUUUGCUAAGCUCUUCUCAUAGAUUUACCAAACUCUCUUGGAACUUGACUUAUGCUCUUGAGUAGGCUAAAAUUCACCCACACAUAAUUCUACAUCAGACUUCAAGGAUAAAAAAGAUAUUUUGUUCCAAAUUUAAUACUAUAUAUUUAAAUAUAAUUGAGUCAGUCUCGUAAAAGGUGAUGAAUGUUACUCAAUUUAUUUAUAAAAAACGUCCAUGUAUUUAGUUUUUAAUUGUUAUAUUUGACUAUGAUUAUAUAUUGUAUUGUGCACCAUAAGCUUCAUUCAUACCAAUAGUUUCUUGUCUGGAUGUCAGCAUUGAAGAAAAAAAAAGGCCUAAGUUUUGACUAUUUGACACGACUUGUGUGUGUAUUUUUUUCCUUUUCUCUCUCACAAAACUGGCAGACUUGGGAAACAGACUAACAAACAAAAAUUGUGUAUAUAUAUCACAAAGGACUUUGGAACUAAUCAAAGUACCUUAUUUUGGUUGUUGAUAGUGAUGCUAUAAGAUAACCAUGAAUUUUUUUUAAAAAAAUCGUCCGUAUAUAGGUAAUUUCAUGACCUGAUACAAGAUCAAAUAAUAUUUUCUUUCUUGGAAAAUCUUAAAUUGCCACACACCAAUAAUAUAUAUAUAUAUAUAUUAAAAAGAUGUUAAUAAUUCUUUUUUUAUCUUUAGAAUAAAAAGGAGUACGCAUUACUAAUUUUCAAGUAUUACUUCCAAAAUCAAACUUCUGAAAUAUGUUAAUUAUGAUUUUUAAGUCUAUAAGUUAUAUUUUGUUCUCAUUUUGUUUUCUUAUAUUUUAUUGUAUUGUUUUAUAAUAGAUAAAUGGUAUCAUAUCACAAAAAAAAAUUUGAAAAAAAAAAGUAGUUUAUAGCAUUUUUUUUUUUUUUGCAUACGGAAGAUAUGACAAAUAACUAGAUUCAUGUUUUUUGUUUUUGUUAUUCGUUUUGUGUUUGACAAUAUUUACGUUUUCUGUUUUUGUUUCUCAAUUUGUAUUUAAUGACUGUUUCUAUUUCUCGUUCCCAAAUUUUGAGGAACAUUUUUCAAAAUUGGGUUAAAGUUGAGACCUUCCUAGUUUUGUUUCUAUUUAUUUUAUUUAACGUUCCAUUCUUAAAAUUGUUAGUGGCUUAUUGGUAACUCUUUUUUUUAUUAAUUUUUCAUAAUUAUCUUUUCUAUUUAUAUGUUUUUUAUUUCUUAAUUUGUUUUUUUUCCUUCUAUUAUUAAUUUUUCAUAUGUUUAAUACUUUUUUGCCUCCCUUUAUUAGUUUUCAUAUUUAUAUGUUUAAUUUAAUUUUGGAUUUUAAAUCUUUUAAUAUUUAGAUCUAUGUAUUAUUUGGUUUUCAAAUUCAAAUUUCAUAUUUCAUAUUUAAUUUUAAUUUUUUUUAUUUAGCUACAUUUAUUUAUUUUUAUUUAGAAAUAAUUUUGAAUUUUAAACUCUUCCAAAUUUAAAUAUGUAAUAUGUUUAUUUUUCGUUUUCUUUUUCGUUUUUGAUUUGUUUUUUAAAUUUCUUAUCCAACUAUUCCAUUUGAUAUAAAAAAAUCCAAUUCUAAAUGUCAUAAUAGAAUUUAAUAUUGAUGUUUAAAAAAAUGAGUAACCUACCUUAAUGUCAUCUUGUCAUUGAAAUUAUGAAAUAAAUACUUGUUUACCCAAAUUGAUAUACUUAAAUUAUUCAAGUUCAUGACUAUUGUACACAUUAUAAUACUACCUAUUAUUAUACCAAGCCAUUUGUUUGGAGGCUUAUUCUGGAUAUUUUUGUCAGUCAUAUAAACUUGUUUAAGUCUUAUAAGAUUACAAUAUUUUCAUAAGUAUGUUUUCCUUAGAUUCAUGAUUUGUUUCCAAAAUAUGUUGACAGCAUACAUCAAACUAACAAGGAAAAGUUUUAUCUUGAGAAAGUUGCAAUGUGUAGCAACAAAAUAUAUUGCAAAUUGUCUAAAUGAAAAUUUAUAUCUACUUAUUGUUAAAAGGGGUAGCCAAAGGUUUUUAAUUCAUAUCCCACAAUUAUCACGAGAUACUUGCAUAUGGACAAUCACAUAUAAUAAAAUUUUUGAUCGAAAAGACAUUUAUGUUCUUUUGAGCAAUAGUAGAAAAAUACUCGCCAAGUCAUAUUAAAAGUUAUAUAAUGUAAUAGACUUUUCUUUCUUAAAAAUAUAUUUUAAAGUAUGUUCUAUAAGUGAAUGCAUGAAGAUGAAUGCAACACACUAUCACUUUGUGCAAUUAUGUCAAUUUUUCAAACAAACGGUAAACAAAAAAUAGAUUUAAAAGUGAUUUUAGAUGUUUAGAAUGAUUUUUGUGGAGGUUAAAAAUCACUUUGAAACAUCAUAUUAGAGUGUGUUUGGCAGUGGUUUUGGCAUAACUUUUCAUUGGCCAAAAUCACUUUUGUAGAAAAAUUUUGGUGUUUAACGGCCUAAAGAAAAUGAUUUUAGAAAAAUAAGAAAGGACUCAAAAUUGAUUUUUUGAAACAUUAUAUCAUCACCAUCACCACCGUCUUAUUUUAUAUAGUUUUUGAAAUAUAUCUAAAAUACCAUUACUAAAAUCAAACUCCCACUAUCACUUCCACACACCCUAAUUUAUUUAAUGGGGAACUUUAAAGUUUUAAAUUCAAUUUUCUUAGCAUGAAGAUUGAUUUUUAAUGAUUUAAACAUGUUUUUGCAGUAUCUUAAAAAUGAAAAAAAAAAAAGAAGAAAAAAAAGAAGAGAUUUUAUCCAUUUAUUGUUCAUUUACAAACGUGCCGUAGAAGAAAGCAAAGGUAGAACCAAACCUGAGUUGGCCGCAAAAGCAGACGAAUCGUGGGUGGCGACGCCACCAUCCCUUCGGCAAACUUCUACUGGAGAAGAAGAGAAACCACUCUCGCACAAACAUACCCCACGGCGGAGCUUCAAAUCAUAACCACAAAAGCCACCGGAAUCCGUACAGUCACUACCACAACCACCAUCGUCCACCUUCCAUUUUAGCUCAAACCCUUCUCUAAUGGCUUCUUCCAUCUUCAAAACUCCAACCAAAAUCCCCUCAUCGCCACGAACAGGAACAACCACGCUGGCCUUGCAGCCCCACAGCCCCAUUUCUUCCCCAAGCUUCACGAACCCAUCUCCAUGGAUGGGACACCCAAAUCUCAAGUGUGAAGGAACCACCAAAAGAGAUGAAUGACACCCAUAAAGCAGUGUUAGAUUCACGUAGCCAUUACUGAUUUCAAAGAGAUUUGGAUCUAGGGUCGUGUUCUUCAAAUGGUCUUCGGGGCAGAUUCCUUCGAAAUAAUCGUCUCGUGCGAUCCGGAGGGUUUUGGUUCUCUCAUCCACCUGUUAAUUAUAAUAUUGAAUGAAAGAAUGUUUAAAAUAUUCUUUUUACAAAAUGUUUAAAACAAUUAUGUAUUCAAUAUUUUUUUUCGAGUACCAUAGAUGUAUUUAAUUCAAAUCACAAACUCUGUGGACACAUUAACAUUCUCCUUUCCUCCUCUGAUUACAGUAAAAUAGUAUUUUUAUUCUAAAUUAUAUUAUACCAAAGAACAAUAUUUAGGUAUAGGCUAGGUCAUGUUCUCUUUUUAUACAAACUCAACGAAAAAAUAUUUCUUAAAUAUCAAUUUCGAUUUACAUAUAUCAAAUUUUAAUUGAGUUGCGGUAGAAUUUCAAAAAACACCAUUUACAUUUUUUUUUUAAUAUUAUUUUUAAAAGCACUUUUUGACAUGGGUUUUCUAAACUACAGGUAAAAUAUAGAUAACAAAAUAUAAAAGUUAGAGGUAAAAAUAGUAACAUUUAACUAUUAAAAACAAAAUGAUCACCAAACAGUACUUAUUCCAUCAUAGUAUAGAUCAAGGAGGUCACCUGCAAAACCCUAUAUUUCACUUGCAUUAUAUCGAUCCUGACAACGUUAUUAUCGCAGGUGAGCUUCAAAUCAGGAACUCCGCAGCUUGGCGGACGAUCUUUGCCCCAAAAAGGGAAGCCAACGUCAACAAUCUCCCCGCAGUUGAACACGGCGGAGCAAUAAUCUUUGUAUGUGCAGAAAGAUGGAGAGAUAUUUAAGAUUAUGAGAAAGAGUGAGGAAGAGAAGAAGGUCAAGAAGUUAUUCUUCAUUGGUGACUUGAAGAAGGAGAAGUUUGAGAGCAAUAAUUCAAUGGAAGGUUGCAAAAAGGGAGUCCCCCAAGGACUUUAACAAGACGGAAAUUAGGAUUAUUAUUAUCUGGAAAGCUUGUUGGACAUUAAUGAUAUGAUUUCAUUUUUAACUUUAAUGCUCCAACCGUUUUUCUCGUCUUUGAAUUCAUAUAUUCAUUUUUUAAUUGCCUCUUCGUGAGUUUUAUGUUUGGUGACAAAAGUGGAUUACGUCUGAUAGUAUAAGAGGUACAGUUUGGAAUCUUGUUUACUACUUACUCGAAUUAAUUACUUACUUUAAAAGUAUUAAAUGGGAGAUUGGAAUCAUAGGACGGUGGAAAUAAAAAUAAAAUAAGGGUUUUGUUUUUAAACAUGCUAAAAUGAACUAAAAUAUUGAUACAAUGUAGCAAAACAAGACUGUUUUUGUGAUAGAUCGUAAUAUAGUUCAUUACAUGUAUCAUCAAAUAGAUCGAAUAGUCAACAAAACGUAAUAUCUUGCUAUAUUUGUUAAUAUUAUUUUCAACCGUUCAUAUUUAUUUAAGAGAUUUUAGGUUAUAAAUCCCACCAUAUGUCUAGUAUUGGAAGACAACUUUACAACCUACAAAUUCUAUAUACUAAUGAAGUAGACUGUACAUGGACGUUGGUAGAAGUUGCUUUAAAGAGGGUUCUAAGGAGGGUAAUAUGGUUGAGAGGGUUAGAUGAUAUUGAUUUACAUCAUAAUUAGGCUAGUUUUGGGUGCAAUAUAAACAUAUAAGAAGUGUUUGGGGGAGGAAAAGGAAAAGGAAAAGGAAAUGACUUCGUUUCUUUUUUUAAAAUAUAAAUAUAUCUUUUAAAAUAUAAUUAUCUUUUCAUCUUUUGAUAAUAGUUAUAUAUGUAUAUAUCUAACAUAUACCUAUAAUUAUCAAAUUUCUAACAAAAUUUCUCUCUUUAAUUUAAUUAAACAAAUACCUAAAAAUAUUUAAUUAAAUUCAAAUUCAACACCAUUAUUAAAAAGCCAAGUUCAAUGACUAAUUAAAUAUUCGACCCAACAAAUAUUUAAUUAAUUUUAAUUUUACAAAACCACAAAUAUUCAAUCCAAUGAUCAUCUGUCCGCUUGAACUACAUGAUUCGUUUUUAUUUUGGUUUCUAUUGGUUUUUUAUUAUUUUGUUUUGCAUUAUCCUGAUGUAUGACGUAAUUGACAUCACCGUUUAAUUGCAUUCUAAAUAAAAAAAAAUUCAUAUUUCAUUUAGUUUCAAUGUUAUUAUGUUCCUUCUUAUUUGUUUAAAUCGAUUGCUAACAAUAUGCAAUUUUCCAAUAUUGUACUUACAACAUCAAUUUUAAAAAUAAAUAUAAUUUCUUUCGCACAUAACACAUCAAUUAAUUUAUUGGCACGGAAAGCUUGUGUACAAAACGUUCAAAAUUGACAUUGUAUUUACAAAAAACUAAUGGAACAUGUUUUCCAAUAAAAAAUCUAAAUUUCGGUAAAUUAAAAAUACCAAUAUUUGUGUAUUGGAUUUACUAUACAAUUUUUUAAAAAAACAAUAUUUCUUCUCCAAACAUUUGAAAAUGCAACGAAAAGAAAGAAAAAAAGAGCAUAUUUUUUAAUGUAUUGGAUUUACCUAUCAAAUUGAACUACAGAUUAAAGAAAAAUGAAAAAAAUAAAUAAUACAAUUUUUUUGUUAAUUGGAUUUUUCAAAACCAUAUUUUACAGGAAGCAAAACAGAGACUAAUACAAUUUUUUUUGUGUAUUGGAUUAAAUGAAAAAAAAAAACUUCACUUUUGAAAAUGCAUUGAGUCUACGUUACAAGUAAAAAAAUAUUUAUACAAAAUAAAAAAAAUAUUAAUACAAAUUUGUUGUGUAUUUGGAUUACAGUACAUGAGCUAAAAAAUGAAUUUGAAUACAAUUUUAGUUUUAUGGUACGAACAACAGACAACGAUUAAUACAAAUGUAAAAAAUAUUAGCACAUUUUUCAUUUUAUAUUUGAUUUAUGAAAAAAAACAAGAAUUUUAUACUCAUGAAAAAAAAAGUUUUUUUCAUACAAUUUUUUUUACAAAGAUAUUAUUAUAAUACUGAGUGGAAAUGUGAAUACAGGACCUCUUGUCUACAGAAACGUACAGGUGUUAAUUGAGCUAAACUCAUGUUGCCAAAAAUACAAUUAAUUAUCCUAAUCCUUUCCCGAAACAAAUACUAUAAAUAAUCCGCGUAAUCCUCCUAUUUUUUCCUUUCACUAAACAAGGAUUAUAAAUAAUCUCUCAUAAUUCUCCCACAUUACCCUUCCCCAAACAAUGAUUAUAAAUAAUUAUUUUCUUUUCAUAAUCUUUUUCCAUAUAAUUCCUUUCCCCGUCUUUUCCUUUCCUUCCCCCAAACAUCCCAUAGACAUAGAUAUCACUUCUUGAGAAGUGAGCAAAUAGUUAAAGUGAUGAAAAUUGGUAUUGUGCUAAUUUAAUUUGUUCAACCAAACCGACCCCACCUGACAAGUUUUAGCAUUGUUUUGACUUGCUCAAUGCUUUGAAUUGUUGAUUGUUCCUUAUAUGGGACGUUCAAAGGCACGAGGGUGAAGUCUAGGUACAUUUGGUAGUGUCUUGCCAUUGCGUCUAGCACACAUAAGUUAUAAGUUAUUUGUGAGAGAGUUCAAUUCAAGGUUGGGGUUUUAUUGGAACACUUUGAAUUUGUUGUAUAUCGCUUCGAAUGACCCAAAUAUAAGGAUGUUUGUGAUAUUUAUGUUUUAUGACCCAAAGAGAAGUUUGCUAUAUAAAUUUUCUAGGAUUAUGAAAUUCUAUAAUAUUUUCUUUAAUAAAAUUGUCGGUUUUCCUCUAUCUCGUAGACAUGUAUAACUAAACAUAUUGCUAGUAUAUAAGGUAAAUUUGUAGGUCGAUUCUCUACUUUUAUGUUUUUUUUGUUCUUUCUUUGUUCAUUUCAAAACAUGAACAUUCAUUGACUUUUGGAUGACGUCUCCAUUCCUUUAGUUUUCUAAAUUUUUGAGGUAAUUCGAUCUCAUCACUUUCUUUGGUUUAGUUAUUAGGUUUCACAUUUCUUGGUUGAUUUCUUUAGAUAAAAUUUAAUCCUAGUAGUUAUUCCAGAAAGAUAACUCUCAAUUCUAGUAUGUCUUCUGUAAUCAAGAACGUAACUAGAACAAAGACAUAAGGACAAAACUCAUUCUAAUCACUAUACUAAAACCAUACAACUCAUUCUAAUCACUAUACUAAAACCAUACAACAUACUGUUACAAUUUUGUAUUGCAAAUCACAUAACCAAUUGUUGUUUCACAAAGUUAGUUUAGUGCAAAGGUAUACAUAUAAUAGCAUGACGAGACACAUGCCGUGUCAAUAUGGAAGCAUGCAUGUAUAUAUAUAUGUAGAAUACAUUUAUAGAAACUACCUGUAAAGAAAACUAAUAUAAUAUUGUUACUGUGAUGGCUUAAGUAUAAAUUCAAAGCUAACAUUUUGAGAACUAUAUAACACACUCAAUACAAUGUUAGCUCCAUAAUGAAAUAUAAUAGUUAUCAAAAUCAAUAUUAAGUGAAUAUAAUCACAACAAUCCUUAACAACCUCAUAUAUAUGAUAGCGAUUCAGAAGUAGAUUGUUGGGUUGCCAUAUUAGGAGCAACCAAUAAAGGUCUUGGAGGCAUUUGCAAGGAGUGAAUGCUGCCUUCUAACAUCUCCAAAACUCUACUCAUUGUAGGCCUAUCUAUGGGAGAUGUUUGAAUGCACCAUAAACCUAUCAUAGUCAUUUUCUUUUCCAUUUCUUCUUCUUCUUCCUCCAUCAAACUUUGUCUCAUUCUUAUACUCUUACUCAUUUCAAUAUUCUUGAAUACCCAAUUUGGAAAGUACAUUUCACUAUCAUCAUCGGAUAACAAUCUUGAACGGUUAGGAUUAUUUCUUAUUCCUCCCAAUACAAGAUCAAGAACUAACAUCCCAUAACUAUACACAUCAGAUUUGUACGACACGAUUCCAAAUGCAGGACUAAAAACUUCUGGUGCGAUAAAUCCAGCUGUUCCUCGAGUUCCUAACAUUGAAAUUGCACUCACUUUUCUUUUGCAAAGCUUUGCAAGGCCAAAAUCAGAGAUUUUAGGGUUUGAAUCUUCAUCCAAGAGAAUGUUUUGUGGCUUUAUAUCAAAAUGCACUAUCCUUGUACUACAACCACAAUGUAAAUACUCUAAUCCUCUUGCCACACCUGUCACAAUUCUAUGAAGCAUUUUCAUCUCAUGAUUGUGACUUCUUGACAUGAAUCUAUCAAGUGAUCCAUUGGCCAUAAAUUCAUAAAUUAGAGCUGCUUUCCUUGAGGUAUAACAGAACCCUAAAAGACCAACUAUAUUGACAUGUGAAGUUCUACUAAUACUCAUAACUUCAUUUAUGAAAUCUUCACCAUUGGCUUUCGAUAACUUUAAAACUUUUAUGGCUACAAGAGUACCAUCAAGAAGUUUGCCUUGAUAGACAAUGCCAUAUCCACCUUCACCUAUUUUUGUUGAGAAAGAGUUUGUCAUUUUCUUUAUCUCUGAGUAAUGGUAUCUCUUUGGUCCAUAGUUUAUUAUGGAAUCUAUACCAUACUUUUUUCUAUUGGAUAUUGAUGAACUUUUGGUUGAUAGCCUUUUUCUUCUACGAAUGUAUAUGAUCAUAAUGCAAAAUAAUAUUGCAAUAGCCGAACCCAAACCAACACAAACACCUGUGUAAAAAAAGUGCUUGUUAAGUCUAAAUCAUCCAUGCUUUAGCCUUGAAAGUGCUCCAAUUAAUUGUAAAUGCAAUAAUUUAUCAUUUCAUCAUACCAAUGACAACCUUCAAGUUUCGAUUUCCAUCUCGAUCUCCUGCAUUUCAAGAAAAUUCAUUGUUAAGUAUACUGAGAUGCCAUAUCGAUCAUUUUUAUUUCUAUUGUUAAUAAACAAUUUUUAUGUCUGUGUGGUUGAUAGCCCAUAAUUAGUAUGCUUGUAAGCAAUACUUUGUUUUUUCAUUAUUAUUACUAUUCAAAAACUAUUUUUAAUGUGAUCUAUUAGCAAUCAUUUUUUUAUGUGUGUUGAUAGACUAUUUUUAGAUGUCAAACAUUGAUUAACAUCUAACUGCUUAUAUUAUUGCAUAUGUCAAUGGUAUAUUAGUUAGUGAUACAAUGUUAUAAUUAAUAUUUUUUGGGGCUAUUUUAAAGAAUAAUAUGAACAUGCAAACAAUAUAAUCACCAUAAAGGAAAAAAGAAAGGGUAAAAUAUUAUUGAUAUGCUAUUUCUUAAAACUAUACAUAUGGUGUAUCUUAGUGAUAAAAUAAACAAAUAAGCAUGCUACUCUCUCAUCUAAUAUAUAAACCGAAAGAGAAAUUUAAAUGACACCCAUAUAUAUAUAUAUCUCUUUUUGAGUAAUAAACUUAAUUUAAAGAAAGUGGUAUAAAAUUAAGGGGUUUUUUCUUUUAAAAAAUAUAACAAAACGACAAAAUAUUUAAUCAACAAUUUCGAAAACAGAAAUGCCUACAAUAGAAAAUACCAAAAAUGCCCCACAAUUAAUUGACAUCCAACUAGCUUAAUAUAUUUAGUAAAUGAUCGUUUAGAUUUUACUAUUCUUUCCACGAUCGUUUAGAUUUGAUUGUAAACAAUUUUUUUCAAGAUUCUUUGUACACAAUCUUUAAAUUUGACUAUUCUUUGAUACACGAUCGUUUAGAUUAAUAGUUUAAAUUUAAGUAGUCCAAUCUAAACAUUUUUUUUAAAGAUUUUUUGGUAGAUGACCGUUUGAUUUGAUACACGAUCAUUUAAGAUUUUUUUCAAAAAACAUAUAGUACAUGAUCGUUUAGAUUUAAUUAUUUAAAUUUGAGUAGCCAAAGCUCAACGGUUUUUCUACGAUCGUUUAUAUUUGGUACAUGAUAUUCCAACAAUCUUUUUUCAUAAUCUUUUAUAUUUGACACACGAUCUUAAACAACCAAAUAUCGGUUUGAAAAAAAGAUUAAAAAAAAAUAGAUCAUUUACAUUUGGUACACGAACUUGAACCAAAUAACAGUUUGAAAAAAACUAAAAGAAAAAUUGCAGAUGAAGAGAAAAAGACGAUGGAAAAGAAAAAUUGCAAAAGAAGGAGAUGGAAAAAGAACGGCAAAAAUCAAUAUUUAGUAAAAUUGCAGAAGAAGAGAAAAAGAUGAUGAAAACAAACAAAAAAAAUGGCAGAAGAGGAAGAUAAAGAAAGACGAUAAAGAGCAAAUCUAAAAUAUUUUUUUAAAAAAUGACCAGUAUCAUGGUUUUUUUAUUUUGUUACACAAAUAGUAAAUAUUUCACAAAUUUGUUAUAUUUAUGAAAACUAGCCAAAAACUAAUUGAAAUAUUAUGUAUAUUCAUAUUUUCUUCUAUUCAUAUAUACACUUAAUAAUUUGAAAAAUUGCAUUGACAAAAAACAUUUAGAAAAAACAUUAUCUUUUUUGCAUAGUACGAAUGACAAUUAUGACAAACAUUUAGAAAAAAACGGUCAAUGAUAUCUCUUUUUUGCAUAGUGCGAAUAUGAUACAUAUGACAAAUAAUUAAUGAUAUUAGACGACUAUCAAACAACUAUCAUAGGGUUAUCGACUUUUAAAUUUACUAAUUUUAUAAUUUAGAAAAUGUAGUAACAUGAGCCUUAUUAACAUAAAAUUCUUGCUAUUUUUACCAUCGCUCCUAAUAAUUUAUUAACAUGUAAAUGAUUAUUCAUAGAUGUCAAUUUCAAAUUCUAUACAAAUAUACCUUUUCUUUUUCACUACAAAAUAUUUGGGCUUUGAUCUCAAUGAAAGAACUAAAAACGAAGGUAAAAUGUCCUUUUCCUAAGAUAAAGUAAAAAAAAAGUUAAUUUUCAUAUAUAUAAAACAUGUAACAAAAUAAAAAAAAUUAUAAUAUUUUUAUAAAUUACAAGUUUUCUUUUGAUUAUUGUGGAUGAAUUUUUGUACUUUUUCUUCUCCUUUUUUAGGUUGUUUUAGAAUUUCUCUUUUUCGUCCUCUCUCAUCUUUUCUUUCUUUUUUCAGUCAUUUAAAUUUUCACUCGUUAAACGAUUGUAUAUCGGUCUAAACAUCUUGAACGAAGAUGGGUAUACGAUCAUUUAGACUUUUAUCGUAUUUUUUGAAAGAAAAAAACGCUGGUCUUUAAUGUGGUUUUUAGGUGGAUUCUAUCCUUUAUUCUACCCACACCCCCAAGCUUCCUUCAAGGUUUAUUUCCAUUUCCUUUUCUUCAAUAUGUUCUGUUCUUUUUGUUGCUCUUCCUGGAUCUUCACAUUCAUUUUUAUUUUACUUAAUGGGUCGUCUCAGGAAUUGAUAACGGGCUUCUUUAUAUUACACAUAGUAUUCGCUUUAUUGCUCUUGUUUGUUGUCACUGCAACUUCUUUAUGUGGUUAGUUGAUGCUGUGAGUUUUUUUCUUGACUGUUAUGCUAUUGAUGUUUAGUUCCUUUAUGUGAAUAACUUUACUAAUUAUGCUGCAUUCGAGGUUUUAUUCUGUUCUUGAAUUUCAAAGAUUAUAUUUCUCAGCUUCUAGCUUCCAUAUGAUGUUCUUCACUUUUUCCCUGCCUCCUUUCAUGGAACUCUUGUGCAAAUUUUUUUCAAGUUUCAACUAUUUCCUUCUUUAUUCAGGGUAGUAAUUGAAGAAUGCUUAAGGGAGGUUGUAGAGGAAAUAAAAAAUUGAUAAUAAAACAACAUUCAAAUUUAAGUUGUGGACUAAAAAUAAAAUUUAACUUAAAAAGAAAUGGAGAAUACUUCCCCGCGGACAUCUCUAAUUAGGACGAAGAUCAGGUCAAAGUUUCCGAAUUAGGGCUACAUACCCGGAGGAGAUGACGGAGCUCCACCGGCCUGAAGAUUCCUACAAGCUCCGUUGUCAAUAGAAUCGCCCACUCGACAAUAGCAAGUUGGUGAUAUCGCCGCAGUUGAAGAGGUUGCCUGCAGGAGCUGUAUAAAUCUAAGGAAGUUCCAAAGACGAAGGGAAGGGAAAAG